rnacentral:rRNA from 1 species
AGUGAACGCUGGCGGUAGGCCUAACACAUGCAAGUCGAACGGCAGCACAGUAAGAGCUUGCUCUUACGGGUGGCGAGUGGCGGACGGGUGAGGAAUACAUCGGAAUCUACUUUUUCGUGGGGGAUAACGUAGGGAAACUUACGCUAAUACCGCAUACGACCUACGGGUGAAAGCAGGGGAUCUUCGGACCUUGCGCGAUUGAAUGAGCCGAUGUCGGAUUAGCUAGUUGGCGGGGUAAAGGCCCACCAAGGCGACGAUCCGUAGCUGGUCUGAGAGGAUGAUCAGCCACACGGGAACUGAGACACGGUCCAGACUCCUACGGGAGGCAGCAGUGGGGAAUAUUGGACAAUGGGCGCAAGCCUGAUCCAGCCAUACCGCGUGGGUGAAGAAGGCCUUCGGGUUGUAAAGCCCUUUUGUUGGGAAAGAAAAGCAGCAGGUUAAUACCCCGCUGUUCGGACGGUACCCAAAGAAUAAACACCGGCUAACUUCGU